GCACUUUCAGUUAUUUUCAUUUUUCUAACUGUUUUUCAGACUAGAUAUUGACAAAUGUAGGACUUCAUGCAGCAUAUGCUUCCUUCUCAUUCCCUGUCAAUGUAGGAAAUGAGGGGGGGGAGCAUGGGUGGCUGGGUUAAAAUUGUAUUUUUGGAAGCAAAAAUACAAAAAUCGCAUAGUUGAUCAGAAAAGCAUGACCAGCAGAUCAGAAUAAACUAGGACAAAACAGAAGCGAAAUGCUGUGGAAAUUCAACUAGUAAGAAAUGCUAAAAGUCAUGUUUCCCUAGAAAAGUUGCUUUCAGGACAGACGUCUAUCUGCUUUUGGUUUGCAGAAAAAAAAAUGUGCGCUCCUCGAGUGGAAAUGCACCAAUAGAUAUGACAAGGAAGUUCUGGAGUGUAAAUAAAAUUGUCCUACUUCAUAAUUAUAACCAAUAAAAUGCUAAGAAAUGAUAGAUGGCAGUAAAGAUUAAAAAUAUGAGUUCUUACAUGAAGGAAAACAAUUUCUGCACAUCUCAAGUGUCGCUGAUGUCGUCAAAUAAUAGUAAUCAUUCUUCUUCCUCUUGCCUGGUGUUUGAUGUUGAUGUGCCGUACUAAGAAUAGACAUCUCACACCGUAAGACUCACACCUACUAUGUUAAAUAGAUCUGUUGACCUGAAGAUAUGAUGGCUAAAGAGGAUGAGGAGCUUUACCUCACCUUAGCCCUCCUGUCACAGCGGCUGAUCUGUAAGUCUCUGAUUUACGCCGAACAUAGCAUGAAAUGCAUAUCUGAUUAUUUUCUAUACAGCAAGGACAAACAAAUCACUUGGUUUCUGUUCUUAGACAUUAACUGAAGCAUGAAUGGAAAGAAUAAUGUAGGCCUGAGGACAUUUUGCCCGUGAAACCAAUGUGAAUGAAGGCAGAGUGGGAUGAGGGGACUGGGAUGAGAAAGGCCAUAUGGAGCUGGAAGCAAUGGGAGGCCAGUUUAGUAACAGCAUGUGUCAUUGUCUCUUAACAGAAUCACACAGCUCUGCAGAACAAGGCAUUGUGAGUCUUGCUUUUGUUUGUAUGUGUGAUCAAUUCCAAUUUGGAGUAUUCUGAAGAAAAGACAAGACAAGUAAAGUCCCCAUAAGUCAAUGGUUCAUCCAUGAAUAAACUUGCAUUUCAACUGCUGGCUUAUAAAGACCAUGACUCAGCCUAAGUAGAGCUUCUCAGCAUCCAGUUUUCACGAGCGUAAGUUCAUGAAAAUUAUUGAUGUACUUCAACUCUGACUCGACUUCCUGCAGAACAACACAAUCGGACCAAACUUGUGCCUCUGCAUCUUAAUAAACAGGAGAUUCCUCAGUCGCUUUCAAAAUGCAAAAUACUGCAUAAACCAAACAAGAAUUAAAACUGUAUAAGACAAAAAAAAAAAAAUUAAGAUCUCACCCAAAGUAUUCCAGCCAUGGUUCAGUCCUCUUCUUCUUCUUUUGUUGUAGAUUUUUAUCUUUUUUUCCUCGGGUGUUAAACCAUCUUCUGUCCACUCUUGUGGUUUGUGCACAGCAGUGACUGGUUAAGGUUACGUUCCCCAACCAGAACACAACUUCUGCCUCCUCCCUCCCUCCAUUUCUCCUGCCGGCCACUUAGGUUGCCUCAUCAGCCCGGUCCCAACAUAGACUCCGCUGUCCUAAGUCAGGCAACGUGCUCUCUCCCUCUCAUCCUGAUUACAGAAGAUUUGCGGAUUAAGAGAAAGAAACAGACAGAAGCCAACCUUGCUCCCCCUGCUAUCAGUUUGUUGAGUUAUUCUGCUCUUUCUCUCAUCUUCUUGACUCUCUCACACACUCUGCCCGUCCACAGCUCUGAGCUGCCCGUCUGUUGUGUGACAGAAAACCUUUCUUUUUUUCCAAAAAAAAAAAAAAAAGUGUUCUGACUGAAUCAUUAAGGCUAUGAGUCUGUAAAAAAAAUAAAAAAUAAAACAA